AAGACAAUUCAGUAGCUUUCACUCAUCCAAUACAUUGUCAUACAAACCACCCUAUAUCUUUUGCUAGGGGACAAACCACCCUACGUCGAAGUUUAGUAACAUAUAGAACUUUUAUGUUUAGCAUGAUGGCAUUGAAAGUCCCCAUGUUCUCGUCAUGGAUGAUUCCCAUGUUGAUGGCCUUGUUGCAUCGAGAGUCCUAAGAUAUUUCUCAUUCAAGGUGCUUGCAUGGGGGAGAUGAGGACUACAUCAUUAAGCCUCUAAGGAUUGCUCAUGUACCUUGUAUUUUAAGCUACAUUCAAUGAUCUAUAGGGAUAAAAUAGAUAAAGAUGGAAUUCAGUGCAACACCCCAACUCAUCAACAGUCCUGCUUGGUGUUAUAUGCUCUCUAUUAAACUUGAUUAGUUGUGAUCAUGUAUGGUCUUUGUUAUGUCAUUAGUUGUAUUAGAUCCAUUGUAACCAGUAUAAGACAAUUUUUGAGCCUAUGAGGGAACAGUAUUGCUUUGGCUUAUUUGUUUCGCUUGAAAUA